rnacentral:rRNA from 1 species
UGGGGAAUUUUGGACAAUGGGCGCAAGCCUGAUCCAGCAAUGCCGCGUGCAGGAUGAAGGCCUUCGGGUUGUAAACUGCUUUUGUACGGAACGAAAAGGCUCUGGUUAAUACCUGGGACUCAUGACGGUACCGUAAGAAUAAGCACCGGCUAACUACGUGCCAGCAGCCGCGGUAAUACGUAGGGUGCAAGCGUUAAUCGGAAUUACUGGGCGUAAAGCGUGCGCAGGCGGUUAUAUAAGACAGAUGUGAAAUCCCCGAGCUCAACCUGGGACCUGCAUUUGUGACUGUAUAGCUAGAGUACGGUAGAGGGGGAUGGAAUUCCACGUGUAGCAGUGAAAUGCGUAGAUAUGCGGAGGAACACCGAUGGCGAAGGCAAUCCCCUGGACCUGUACUGACGCUCAUGCACGAAAGCGUGGGGAGCAAACA